rnacentral:rRNA from 1 species
AGCGAACGCUGGCGGCAGGCUUAACACAUGCAAGUCGAGCGGGCACUUCGGUGUCAGCGGCAGACGGGUGAGUAACACGUGGGAACGUACCCUUUGGUUCGGAAUAACGCUGGGAAACUAGCGCUAAUACCGGAUACGCCCUUUUGGGGAAAGGCUUGCUGCCGAAGGAUCGGCCCGCGUCUGAUUAGCUAGUUGGUGGGGUAAUGGCCUACCAAGGCGACGAUCAGUAGCUGGUCUGAGAGGAUGAUCAGCCACACUGGGACUGAGACACGGCCCAGACUCCUACGGGAGGCAGAAGUGGGGAAUAUUGGACAAUGGGCGCAAGCCUGAUCCAGCCAUGCCGCGUGAGUGAUGAAGGCCUUAGGGUUGUAAAGCUCUUUUGUCCGGGACGAUAAUGACGGUACCGGAAGAAUAAGCCCCGGCUAACUUCGUG